UGGCUCAGUUAGUAGAGCAUGGUGUUUGCAACACCGGAGUUGUGGGUUUGAUUCCCAC
rfam:Salmo salar isolate Sally breed double haploid chromosome ssa10, whole genome shotgun sequence.